CCUCCGGGCGGCAGCAGUGGGGAAUUUUGGACAAUGGGCGAAAGCCUGAUCCAGCAAUGCCGCGUGUGUGAAGAAGGCCUUCGGGUUGUAAAGCACUUUUGUCCGGAAAGGAAUGGCUCUGGUUAAUACCUGGGGUCGAUGACGGUACCGGAAGAAUAAGGACCGGCUAACUACGUGCCAGCAGCCGCGGUAAUACGUAGGGUCCAAGCGUUAAUCGGAAUUACUGGGCGUAAAGCGUGCGCAGGCGGUUGUGCAAGCCCGGUGGGAAAGCACGGGUCAUAGCGGGGGAAUUGCAUUGGGGAGUGCACGGCUAGAGUGUGUCAGGGGGGGGAAGAAUUCCACGUGAAGCAGUGAAAUGCGGAGAGAUGUGGAGGAAUCCCGAGGGCGAAGGCAGCCGCCGGGGAUAACAAGGACGCGCAGGCGCGAAAGCGUGGGGAGCAAACGGGAUUAGAUACCCGAGUAGUC
rnacentral:rRNA from 1 species